AUGUCUUCGUCGUCGGGGUAUGUCGUCAUCCCUUGCUGCCCGUUGAUUUUUGAUGGAACUAACUACACCGAGUUCAUUGCCUUCUUUCGCAUUCAUAUGCGUGGCAUUCGUCUCUGGGGUGUUUUAUCUGGCGAGGUCUCCUGUCCGUCACGUCGGGUUCCUCCUAUGGUUCCUACUCCACCGACGCCAACGCCUCUUGCUGUGGAUGCUGCUCAACCUGCUAAGGAUGCAGCUAAGCUUGCUGACGAGUCUGCAACUCGUGCUUAUGAGCAACAGGUUUUGACCUAUGAGGAGUCUCUUCACUUUUACCGUGAUGCUCUCUCUGCUUACACUCAGUGGUCUGAUGAUGAUGCUCGCGCCGCAGCUGUUCUCACUUCCAGUGUUUUGCCUCAUUUUGUCUCUGACUUUAUGGGCCUCGCUACCGCCUUUGCAAUGUGGACAUUUUUUGCCAGCGCUAUCAACCAUCCGGUGAUGCCUUGUAUCUAUAUGUGGUUCGCCAGGAGCAUGCUCUUCAGCAGGGUGACUCCACUGUUGAUGAUUUCUACGCACAGAGUUCUGUCAUUUGGCGCUAGCUUGACUCCCUUCGGACUGCUGGUUGUCGUACUUGUCAGUAUUGACAAGCUGUGCGGUCCGACUUGGAGUUUCAUCGCGUCUAUGAGUUCUUGUCUCGACUUCGUCCAGAAUUUGAGCCACGGCGCGCUCAGUUGUUUGCCCGCGGCCGUAUUACUCUUAUGGAGGCACUUUCUGAGAUUCGGGCUGAAGAGACUCGCCUACGUGGUGCUGGUUUACUUGAGGUUCCCUCUGUGCUUGCUGCUCGAGCUUCUACUACACCGCCUCUUUCACGCUCCGGUGCUCUGCCACUCCUGCCCACUUCUCCUAGUGGUGAGGGCCGCUCUCGUUCUCACUGCGGCUACUGCAACAAGGAUGUCCUGA
rnacentral:rRNA from 1 species